CAUUAUCACGGUUUGCACACAGUUGACAUCGUACCAAUGCCCGACUUGCUGGUCCAAUAAUAAUCGCGAUCUACACGUGGGAAUCACACGUACGAUAGUCUUGUAAAGAACCAGGUGUACUGUACUGUUGAAGGCCAAGGACCACUCUGAGUCUGCAUCUCUAAACAGGCAAAAGAAUCGAAGAAAUUGAAGGAAGGGAGCAUUCAUGGCGGGUGGAGAACACGGUCACGGAGAGGGAGCCCAUGGAGACUUCAGAGCCAAGGUAUGGACUAUGACCGGUGGCCCAAACUGCAGGCCUAAGCACUGGAAGCGAAACACGGCUAUCGCCAUGGCUGGGAUCUUUCUUAUUUGCAUUCCCAUCGCUAUGAAAUCCGCAGAACUCGAGGUUUCGAUUUCUCUUCUCGUUACUUUUUGUGUUUACGUUAUGGAUUCUGUUGUCUCUGGUUGCUAAUUGAUCGUUCUUUGGUGAA